GGGGGCGCGACGGCUGGGGCGGGGGCAAUGUUGCUGCGGGGGCAGGCGGCGGCAAGGGCGGCGGCGGCCCGCUCCAGCCAUGCCGAAUAAAACAAGAAGGAGAAAGAAUCACCAAAAGCAGGGAAGAGUGGAAAAAGUUCAAAAGAAGGACAAGACACAGUAGAAUCAGAGCAAAUUUCCGUCAGGAAAAAACAGCCUUGUUGCUGUCCCGUCUACAAUGUCUGCUAAAAUAAAAGUACCCAUCUCUCAGCCCAUAGUGAAGAAAGACAAAUGGCAAAAUUCUUCAAGGUUUAGCGCAAGCAAUAAUAAAGAACUUCAAAAACUACCAUCCUUAAAAGAUGUCCCUCCUGCUGGUCAAGAGAAGCUUUUUAUCCAGAAGUUAUGUCAGUGUUGCGUCUUUUUUGACUUUGUUUCUGAUCCACUAAGUGACCUAAAGUGGAAGGAAGUAAAACGAGCUGCUGUAAGUGAAAUGGUAGAAUAUAUCACCCAUAAUUGGAAUGUGAUCACAGAGCCUAUUUACCCAGAAGUAGUCCAUAUGUUUGCAGUUAACAUGUUUCGAACGUUACUACCUUCCUCCAAUCCUACAGGAGCAGAAUUUGACCCAGAGGAAGAUGAACCAACAUUAGAAGCAGCUGGCUUCAUCUACACUUGUUUAUGAAUUUUUCUUAAGAUUUUUAGAGUCUCCAGAUUUCCAACCUAAUAUAGCGAAGAAAUAUAUUGAUCAGAAGUUUGUAUUGCAGCUUUUAAAGCUCUUUGACAGUGAAGAUCCUCGGGAGAGAGAUGUUCUUAAAACCACCCUUCACAGAAUCUAUGGGAAAUUCCUAGGCUUGAGAGCUUACAUCAGAAAACAGAUAAAUAAUAUAUUUUAUAGGUUUAUUUAUGAAACAGGGCAUCAUAAUGGCAUAGCAGAGUUACUGGAAAUAUUGGGAAGUAUAAUCAAUGGAUUUGCCUUACCAUAAAAAAAGAACACAAGAUUUUCUUAUUGAAGGUGUUACUACCUUUGCACAAAGUGAAAUCUCUGAGUGUCUACCACCCCCAGCUGGCAUACUGUGGAGUGCAGUUUUUAGAAAAGGACAGCACCCCCACAGAACCAGUGGUGAUGGCACUUCUCAAAUACUGGCCAAAGACUCACAGUCCAAAAGAAGUAAUGUUCUUAAACGAAUUAGAAGCGAUUUUAGAUGUCAUUGAACCAUCAGAAUUUGUGAAGACCAUGGAGCCCCUCUUCCGGCAGUUGGCCAAAUGUGUCUCCAGCCCACACUUCCAGGUGGCAGGGCGAGCUCUCUAUUACUGGAAUAAUGAAUACAUCAUGAGUUUAAUCAGUGACAACGCAGCGAAGAUUCUGCCCAUCAUGUUUCCUUCCUUGUACCACAACUCAAAGACCCAUUGGAACAAGAUAAUACAUAGCUUGAUAUAUACAACGCCCUGAAGCUGUUCAUGGAGAUGAACCAAAAGCUGUUUGAUGACUGUACACAACAGUUCAAAGCAGAGAAACUAAAAGAGAAGCUAAAAAUGAAAGUAUGGGAAGAAGCAUGGGUUAAAAUAGAAGAUCUAGCCAAAGCCAAUCCCCAGGUACUGAAAAAGAGAGUGACAUGA